GUUUGAAAAAUUCUAAGCAUACCCUUUUCUCGCCGGGCGUCCUCGAGUGAGUGACAUCGUCUUUAAACCCUGUGUGGCAAUCCCUGAUGCACCACUGUGAUGCCCAGGGAAGACAGGGCGACCUGGAAGUCCAACUACUUCCUUAAGAUCAUACAACUUUUGGAUGAUUAUCCAAAAUGCUUCAUUGUGGGAGCGGACAACAUGGGCUCCAAGCAGAUGCAGCAGAUCCGUAUGUCUCUUCGAGGGAAGGCUGUGGUGCUGAUGGGCAAGAACACCAUGAUGCGCAAGGCCAUCUGAGGGCAUCUGGAAAACAACCCAGCUCUGGAGAAACUGUUGCCUCAUAUCCGGGGAAAUGUGGGCUUUGUGUUCACCAAGGAGGACCUCACUGAGAUCAGGGAUAUGCUGCUGGCCAAUAAGGUGCCAGCUGCCGCCCGUGCUGGUGCCAAUAACCCAUGUGAAGUUACCGUGCCAGCCCAGAACACUGGUCUGGGGCCAGAGAAGACCUCCUUCUUCCAGGCUUUAGGUAUUAGUACUAAAAUCUCCAGGGGCACCAUUGAAAUCUUGAGUGAUGUGCAGCUGAUUAAGACUACAGACAAAGUGGGAGCCAAUGAAGCCACAUUUCCCCCUUCUCCUUUGGGCUGGUCAUUCAGCAGGUGUUUGACAAUGGUAGCAUCUACAACCCUGAAGUGCUUGACAUUACAGAAGAAACUCUGCAUUCUCGCUUCCUGGAGGAUGUCCGCAAUGUUGCCAGUGUUUGUCUGCAGACUGGUUACCCAACUGUUGCAUCAGUACCCCAUUCUAUCAUCAAUGGUUACAAGAGAGUCCUUUGUCUUUGGAGAGUCCUUUGUCUUUGGCUUUGUCUGUGGAGACUGAUUAUACCUUUCCACUUGCUGAAAAGGUCAAGGCCUUCUUGGCUGAUCCAUCUGCCUUUGUGGCUGCUGCCCCUGUGGCUGCCACCACCACUGCUGCUCCUGCUGCCACUACAGCCCCAGCCAAGGUUGAAGCCAAAGAAGAGUCGGAAGAGUCGGAUGAGGAUAUGGGAUUUGGUCUCUCUGACUAAUCACCAAAAAGAGCAAACUCAGCCAGCUUUAUUUUCAGAACAGGCAAAUGCUUCUUUUAAGUUAAAAAAAAAAAAAAAAAUUCUAAGCGUACAGCAGACAGUAAUCCACCCUGCCCAUCUAUACUCACAUCUACCCCCUUCCCUUGCAUUAUGUUGAAGCAAUUCCCAUAUAAUUUCAGUUAUAUUUCUUUAUAUGUUUUCUAAAAAAUAGACCUUUAAAAUCAUAAAUACAAGACCAUUAUAACAACAGUAAUUUCUUUUCUUUUUUUUCUUUUGAGACAGAAUCUCAAGCUAUCGUCCUGGGUAGAGUGCCAUGGCACCAUAGCUCACAACAACCUCCAACUCUUGGGCUCAAGCGAUCCUCUUGCCUCAGUUUUUCUAUUUUUAUUAGAGAUAGGAUCUUGCUUUUUGCUUAGGCUGGUCUCGAACCUGUGAGCUCAAGCUAUCCACCACCUCUCCAGAGUGCUAGGGUUACAGGUGUGAGCCACUGCACCAGGCCAAUUAAUAGUAAUUUAUUUUAUUUUAUUUUUUGAGACAGAGUCUCACUUUGUCACCCUCAGUAGAGUGCUAUGGCGUCACAGCUCACAGCAACCUCAAACUCUUGGGCCUAAGUGAUUCUUUUGCCUCAGCCUCCCA